rnacentral:lncRNA from 10 species
AGAAGGGAUAACCAGCUGCUAAGUGCCUGGUGGGAGCUCAGCUCUUGCAGACUGGAGCCAAGGGAACCCCAGCACGCCUCGUCCACCCUCUCCCUGCACAGACACAGGGGGAGAGGGAAUGGUCUGGAGAGCAGCUUGCAUCACAACCCGGGACUCCCAUUCCUAGGCCAAAUUUUUUUCUACAUCACUGCCACCUUCUGUCACUGUUGGAGGCUUCAUUUUUCUCCAAAGGCCAGAGAUGGGGAGAGAGGAAGCCUCAUCUCUAAGGGACUCGCAGACCACCCCAGGCUACAGCAGGGAGGGACCCUCGCCAGGGGUAUUACCAGUUCUUGAGGUCUCAGGGUCUUCAUCUGGGACAUGGGUGCCCACCCCCAAUUUAACCACACCUCGGAGCCACCCAGGAAAGCAGUGGAGGGAGAACCUCAGAGGUGCACCUGGACCCCUCUAGCCAUGAAGACUCCAAGUGGAGAAGGGCACAAGGUGGAGGAGGCCCCUGUUCUCAGCUGAGUUUCCUUGCUGCUAGGCCUGUGGUCCUGAAGGAAGGCCAGGCCCAGCCCCCUCCCGGCCCCUUGGCUGGCACUGGUAGAGAUGAGGUCAGCCCACAGCUGCGUGAGCCAGGGCACAGGCAGCCCAGGCAACUCCAUUGUGGUCGGAAAGGAAUGUCAGAAAUGAGCUGAGACGCAAAUAAAAAAAAAAACUUCCAAGGCUGUAAUUUUAACGGAAAAACAGCAGGCGGCCUGUGUGGAAGGGUCCCCGGGGUUUCAGAGACUGUCUUUCAGACAGAUGGAGGGAAGGACAGACUGGGGGAGGGGAAGGAGGGAGAAGCUGGGGAGGAUUUCCCAGCCCAGAGCCUCUGCCUCUGGACCCCAAAACUGCAACUUCAAGCCCCAUCGGACCCCCAGGUUUACCCAUGGAACAUCAGACCUGAUGGAAAGGGAUUUCAGACUCAGGACUUCCAGAUGAGCAAGUCAGAGCCCAGAGACGCCCAAGCCAUUUCACAAGAAGACACAGAGGGGUGACUUCAAAUGAUCAGUCCAAGAGUUUUGCUGUGAGAAGGAACAUAGGAAGGUAGCCAAGUAUGACAUGGCUUCCCAUAGCCGGCUUUAGACACCCCAACACCCCUACACCCACAUCUCCACGAACCCACACACAUCAGAAGAGUAUGCAGCUUCGCCUGGGCUCCACCCUGACAGCUGCCUUUGUCCUGGGCUCUGGGGACCUGCCCUCAAGCCUCUAACACAGACCUCAGGGCCAGGAGGCCCCAGAAGCUGAUGCCUUGGGCUACUGUCUGCUGUCCUAGUGUCAUCACACACAGGGGUCAGUGACUUGUGUUAAGGCCUUCUGGAGUAAAGCCAUCAUCUCUCUGCCCCUCCAGUAAUUUACUAACAGAGAUGGAGGGACCCAGGUCUCACUCUGCCAAAGGCAAUCCCUCGGAGAAAGAUGACCUGGGCCACCCCCAGGGGAGGAAGAAAGAAGAUGGCAAGACCGACAUUUUCCCCAUUAGCAGCCCUCUGGACAGCUCCCUCGGGUUCUGGGCCUCUCUGAGUGUUGAGAAGCUCCAGAAGCCUUGCACUCUUGCCACUUAUAGGGAACACGCACCAGUUCAGACAAGGCCUCCGCACUCCCCAGCUGUGGGACCUCAGACAAGUCUCCCAUCCUCUCCGUGGCCCUAAGCCCUCAUCUGGAUGUAUCCCUUAGGGGGUUUCAAUGGGAAUGAAAUAAGAUAAUCCUCAGCACACUGCCUAGAACGUGGCUAUGCUGCAUUUGAGUUAUCAUUGCCCCAGGAGGCUGGUAAAGAGCCAGGAGCAGUGGGUAAAUUGGCCAAGCUGCCCUCACAGGGGGGAUGGGGUAGGGAGAUUCUAGGGGGGUCUUCCCCAGCACCUGGAUGUCAAUCCCUGGAAUUCUUUCAGCCCUCUGUAAGGAAAUAUUGAUCCUCAUGGCCCCAGGGGAGGCUGGGCUGGCCUGGGCAACUGGAGACACAGCAGCUCAAGCAGCCGCUUCCAUUUGGCCCAAGUGCAAAGCUUUGAAAGCAUCCUUGUGGGGACCACAAAAUGUAAAGGACUGACAACUCCAGCCCAGCCCCACACCCUGCCUCACAUUACAGGUGAAGAGCCUGAGACCCAAGUCUAGGAGGGAGUUGCCCAAGGACACACAGCGAGUAAAGGCAAAGUCUAGACUUUUCUAUCAAAGGGUGGUUCUGUGGAUGAGGAGAGUGGCUCAGAAACAGUAAUGGGAAACACAAGGAAGCAGUAAUGGGAAGCAUUUUGAUUACCAGAAGUACCAUUUCCACAGGACUCUAUAAGGUCUCAGAGACUCCCAGGCUGCCUAUAGUUAGAACCAGGUGGACUAUAGAGGCCCCCAAUUCUCAGAGCACUGUCCCUCUCUCCCCCUGGCUAAGCUCAGGGCAGAGUCUGAGGCCAUGGCUGUGGUGUGCCUGGGAGCAGGGUCAGAGCCGUCCAUGCCAGGCUGCCUUUUGCAACUAGCACUGCUCAAAUGAAAAGCAGUUUAAAAUACACGAAAGGAUUAAAGCAAGUAGGCGACAGGUUUACGAGCCUGUGCCACAUGCUUUCACAUUUAAUCUUUAUUACAACUCCAUGAGACAGGUGUUGCUGUCUCCAUUUCAUAGCUGUGGGAACCAUUUCAGAGAGGUUGGGUAAAUUGCCCAAAGUCACACAGCCAGUAUGUGGAGAGGCCAGAAUAGGAACCCACUUCCUAAGAGGCAAAAAAUGCCAAGUAAGGCUCACAGGGCUAUGAGCCAAGGAGCAUAAGAAAUUCAGCCAUGUGUGCCCCAGGCUCAGGAGACUGGGCACAGCCCAGAGGACAUUUCAGCACAGGAAACAUGACCCAGACAGCAUGGUAGCAAGGUCUCUUGGCUCUGCUCCAGAGCUGGCUCUGUGACCUUGGAGAAACCAUACCACCUCUCAGAACCCCAGCUGCUGAGCACUGGCAGGGAAACAGAGGGACAUAACCCCUGACUGGCUUCUGAAAAAGGAAGCAAACAACCCACUGGGCUCAU